rnacentral:rRNA from 1 species
UACGUAGGGUGCAAGCGUUUGUCCGGAAUCAUUGGGCGUAAAGCGCGCGUAGGUGGCUUCGUAAGUCCGUUGUGAAAGUCAAAGGCUCAACCUUUGAAUGCCGAUGGAUACUGCGAAGCUAGAGUACGGAAGAGGCGAGUGGAAUUCCUGGUGUAGCGGUGGAAUGCGCAGAUAUCAGGAGGAACACCGGUGGCGAAGGCGGGUCUCUGGGCCGAUACUGACGCUGAGGAGCGAAAGCGUGGGGAGCGAACAGG